GUGGUCGUAGCUUAAUGGCUAAAGCACGGGCUUGUGGAGCCUGUGAUGGGGGUUCGAUUCCCCUCGAUCACC
rnacentral:tRNA from 1 species